GACGAACGCUGGCGGCGUGCUUAACACAUGCAAGUCGAGCGGUAAGGCCCUUUCGGGGGUACACGAGCGGCGAACGGGUGAGUAACACGUGGGUGACCUGCCCUCAGCUCUGGGAUAAGCCUGGGAAACCGGGUCUAAUACUGGAUAUGACUCCAUGACGCAUGUUGUGGGGUGGAAAGCCUUGUGCGGCUGAGGAUGGGCCCGCGGCCUAUCAGCUUGUUGGUGGGGGUGANGGCCUACCAAGGCGACGACGGGUAGCCGGCCUGAGAGGGCGACCGGCCACACUGGGACUGAGACACGGCCCAGACUCCUACGGGAGGCAGCAGUGGGGAAUCUUGCGCAAUGGGCGAAAGCCUGACGCAGCGACGCCGCGUGAGGGAUGACGGCCUGGU
rnacentral:rRNA from 1 species